rnacentral:lncRNA from 1 species
AAAGUAUGGCCUGAAAUCACUGCAGUACUUUAAGGGUGAAAUACAACUCACAAGCGCCAACACGGUUUCUGAAGAUUCUGCUGGUGACGGUGCCAUGACAACAAGUGGUUCUCCUAGCAGUACGAGUUCCCAGAGCAUCUGAAUGUGAAAGAACACUGGACAGAAACACCUGAAAAGAUCUACUUCAUGAACAGUUGGUAAGGUCAUAGAGAUCUGAGCAUCUGCCUGGUGCAUAUUCUGUACUACCGGGGUCGUUCCAGGCUUGUCACGAUAUGUUGGAAUUCGCAGCUUCAUUACGACACCCAUAAUAGGCAAAUGUAGUACUUCCCCUGGAACUGGUGGUGGCCA